rnacentral:rRNA from 1 species
AUUGAACGCUGGCGGCAGGCUUAACACAUGCAAGUCGAACGGUAACAUAAAGAAGCUUGCUUCUUUGAUGACGAGUGGCGGACGGGUGAGUAAUGCUUGGGAAUCUAGCUUAUGGAGGGGGAUAACUACGGGAAACUGUAGCUAAUACCGCGUAAUAUCGAAAGAUUAAAGUGUGGGACCUUCGGGCCACAUGCCAUAGGAUGAGCCCAAGUGGGAUUAGGUAGUUGGUGAGGUAAAGGCUCACCAAGCCGACGAUCUCUAGCUGGUCUGAGAGGAUGACCAGCCACACUGGGACUGAGACACGGCCCAGACUCCUACGGGAGGCAGCAGUGGGGAAUAUUGCGCAAUGGGGGCAACCCUGACGCAGCCAUGCCGCGUGAAUGAGGAAGGCCUUCGGGUUGUAAAGUUCUUUCGGUAGCGAGGAAGGCAUUUAGUUUAAUAAACUAGGUGAUUGACGUUAACUACAGAAGAAGCACCGGCUAACUCCGUGCCAGCAGCCGCGGUAAUACGGAGGGUGCGAGCGUUAAUCGGAAUAACUGGGCGUAAAGGGCACGCAGGCGGUGACUUAAGUGAGGUGUGAAAGCCCCGGGCUUAACCUGGGAAUUGCAUUUCAUACUGGGUCGCUAGAGUACUUUAGGGAGGGGUAGAAUUCCACGUGUAGCGGUGAAAUGCGUAGAGAUGUGGAGGAAUACCGAAGGCGAAGGCAGCCCCUUGGGAAUGUACUGACGCUCAUGUGCGAAAGCGUGGGGAGCAAACAGG